AUUGAUGAUGAGUGAGGUGGCUGACGACCCUGGCAUUGAUGAUGAGUGAGGUGGCUGACGACCCUGGCAUUGAUGAUGAGUGAGGUGGCUUACGACCCCAGCCUCCUCUCAUCCCAGUAAAUUUUCUCCCUCUCCCCUAAUGCCAACUUCAGCAAGCAAGCAGCACAGCACAUCAGAGAUAAAUUAACAGUAUGUUUAAAACUUACCUCACAUACCUACGCACAUAAACAUUCAAACAUGUAAAAUACCCCUGUAUACUGUACUUGUAAACAUAUAUGCCUAAUAAACUCACUGUUUGUUA